AAUUGUGAUGUGCUGCCUUUCGGACUAAAGAAAAGGAAAAUUUCAGCCCGGUGUUCCACAGUGAAACUGUAAGGCUGCAAGCUCAGAAACCACCUGGUAACCCUUGCAUUUUUGUCUUUGUUCUGGCUCAAGUACGUAUCCAUGUGAGCAGCACUUUGUUAAUACACACCGUAGGGCGCUGAUCAACAGAACAACCAAUGUUAAUCCAGUACUGGAUGAUCUCCUGAAUCAUAACAUCCUGACCCAUGAACAGUAUGACACAAUAAUAAGCAGAAGAACCUCCCAGGAGAAGAUGAGACAACUCUAUGACUAUGUCAGGUCCUGGGGGCAACCUGAGAAAGAUCAACUGUUCUGGGUACUGAGUUUUCACAACAGACCGCUCAUCAGGGACCUAUAUUGAAGCUAAAGCUUUCAAAUAUUCUGCAAUUCACGUGCUCCACCCAGUGUACCUGCUGGGCAAUAUAUUUAGUCUCUUGGGCAUUAUUUGGAGUUUUUUGGGUACCAUGUGCCGUUCCAGGGGUUCUUUGGGCGAAGCCCUUUGAGCAGAUUCUUGCCUAUAUUAGGGUAAUUGCAUCACAAACUGAAAAUAACUAUUAAAGUUGCUUAAAAGAGACAAAUAGCAUGUGACCCCCCCCCCCAAUCCAAUCUCGCAGGCUAUAAUAAACAACAUGUAUCAGCUCAAUUCACAGCAGAAUCUAAAACAAAAAUAAAAAUUUAUUAAUAUUUAAAAAUACCAGCCUAGGAUUAGUCCAAACCUCAAAAUGUUAGAAGACCUCUUUAACCUGGAAGCAAUUCAAAGGGUCGACUAAUUUUUAAGUUAACUUUUAGUAUGUUAUAGAAUGGCUAAUUCUAAAACUUUAUUUAUUUAUUUCUUAUAGUUUU